rnacentral:rRNA from 1 species
UACGGGGGGGGCAAGCGUUGUUCGGAAUUACUGGGCGUAAAGGGCUCGUAGGCGGCCAACUAAGUCAGACGUGAAAUCCCCAGGCUCAACCUGGGAACUGCGUCUGAUACUGGAUGGCUUGAAUCCGGGAGAGGGAUGCAGAAUUCCAGGUGUAGCGGUGAAAUGCGUAGAUAUGUGGAGGAACACCGAUGGCGAAGGCAGCCCCCUGGGAUGUGACUGACGCUCAUGUACGAAAGCGUGGGGAGCAAACAGG